UACGGCCAUAUAGCGUUGCCACACCAGUUCCCGUACGAUCACUGAAGUUAAGCAAUGACGAGCUUGGUUAGUACAUAAAUUGGUGACCGUUUAAGCAUACCAGUUGU